rnacentral:tRNA from 1 species
AGGCAAGAGGUAAGCCAGUGGUCUCCAAAACCACCGUUAAGAGGUUCGAUUCCUCC